CGCCGCGCCUUGGUUCCCGGAGCAGCUCGGCAGGCAUCGCUCCUCGGUGCGGCUCUGGGAGCCACCGCGGCCGUCUGUGAGGGGGGGUGGCGGUGAGGAGAGGCGGCCCCGACGGGGCCGCGGUGCAACGCACGGCGCUGGGAGCGGCCCCGGAUACCGUUCAGUCUCCUCGCUCGCUCCUCACUGUAAUGACCUGAGUGCAGCAUUGCUCAAAGCAGAGAAUUGAUAGACAGAAUCUGCGAAGUGAUUUGUCUCAGUGUGACUCAGCGCUGUGUGGUGCUGCGUCCCAUCUGAUGGGUAUCCGUGGCCGUGUUUGGGGUGCGUGGCUCAUUGUGCAGCUCCUCCUUCCUGUGCGGCUCCACGAGGUGCGGUGGUGUCACAGCUGGGCUGCCUCGUUCCUUUGGAAACAGUCCUGGGAUUACAGCUGGACAGAAAUGGGCGCCGUUUGAAUGUUCAGAGCGGUGCCUUCAGCAGUGAACGUGCCAGAGGUCUUCAAUAGCAACAAGAUCAGCUGGAUUUAUGGCACAGAUUUUUGGGAGCGAUGGUAAUAGGUGUGCGUGUGUCAACCAAGAGAAGAUCAGUGUGUAUGGAUCUUGUCUAUCAGUGUGCAUGCCAGAAGAGUACUAGGAACAACUUAUUUAACAUAUAGCUAGAGAUGGAGUGGAAUACUCUGAGCCUGGAGACAAACUGGAUAUAGCUUUUGUCAGAACAACAGUAUUUCAGUCUGAAAGCGCAGCAUUUCUGUGACCAGCUGCUUGUGUUUCUGCUGUAUUGGCCCACAGCGAUUCAAACAACACAGAGAAACACAGAAGUGUACUGUAAUUCAUCAUAUAAAGUAGAGAACUUUAUUCACUAUGAGAACAGAUGUACCUUCUUUCUCCUAAGUGUGUGCUGCUGCAGCUGAUCACCUCAGUGUCAGGAAAGGAGCAUUUCCUUGUCUGCCCUGGUAAAUGGUUCUCCUACAGCCCCACGUGACGUGUCCUGUCUGCCAGCCAAGGAGGGCUGGCUGUGACAGCUUCAUGGCCCCUCAGCUCUGCUCCUCACAAUGAGCGUGAGCCUUGACAAGUCUGGAGGUCCAGCGGUGUCCAGCUGACUUGUGUGCUCUCUGGCAGUUGGGAACCAGCGCAGCGUCUGCCUGCAGCGUUUCCAGUGGUUGGAGGAGGACGAAAAGUGCACAGCCUCUGUUGCAUGAAGCUCUACAUGUAACACUACAACAAACGUGACAGACGAAGACCCAUCCCUGCGGAGCGGCACUACUCCCUCCACGUUCCUCCAGAACCAUCGGCGCAACCUGGGCCUGGUGGGCGGCACAUCUUCCAGCACGCUGAGGAUCAGCAGUGUCUGCAGCACCAGACAGCGCACGGCCGGCUCGCUGUCCUCCUUGGCUCCCUCCAGGGCUGCAAUGGAGCGGUGCUGUGUCACCACGUGGGCCCCACACGGCACUUCCUGGGGCACGGGGCAGCGGGGGGGGAUGGCUCACCUUUACGGAUGUCCGACAUCUUCUCCCGGUUCUCAUUCCUCAGCUUUCGCCCUAGCAGCCCUGCGCACAUGGCUGCUGUCAGCGCUCACCCGUCCCCGCGGCGCCCAGGGACCUCACAGCAUCCCAUGGACCCCCACGGUGCUCCAAGGACCUCCAAAAACCCCAUACUACCCUAAUAGUGUCCCCAUCAUCCCCAGCAACCCUUCAGUGUCUCAGGGACCCUAUGGUGCCCCAGUGACCCCUGUGGUGCCCAGCUGCCCCCAAGGACCCCAGGGAGCCCCAGAGACCCAACACAAUGCUUCAGUGAAUCCCCAUAGUGCCCCAGUAAUCCCAGUGUUGCCCUAAUAACUCCCAAGAACCCCACCAUUUCCCCAGUGACCCCCCAGGACCCCCGCUGCGCACCAACCCCACAGCAUUCAGCUGGAGGGAUGGGGACCCACUGGGGAUGGGACUCACCGAGGAAGCGCACGGCCUGUGUCCCUCACGGGCACCUGGGGGCUGUGCAGGUGCAGCACUGGUGUCCUUCAGGUACUGCUCCGCAUCUCUGCCCCUCUUCUGAAGCUGCAGAGAGCAUGGUGGGGGUGGCACCCGCAGAAGUGGCUCCCCGACCCCCCUUCUGCAGGGCAGCAAGGGGGGUCCAGGAGGGGUUGAGGGGUGGGGGUCCUUACCAGGACAGUCAGCAAUCAUCCAGACCUCCGCCGCACAGGCCAAGCGUUGCAGUUGCUGCCAGCCCAGGAGCUUGGCGGCGUGGAUCAGAGCUUUCUGAGCAGCCUGGGGGGCAGUGACACAGGGGGGUGUUGGUGGGAGAUCCUGGGGGAACCUCCAUCCCAAACCUGGGUCAGCACCAUAGCCGAUCCCGUCCCACAGGUUCUGGGGGAACGGGGUGGGGGAUGUGGGAGGGUUUUCCUAACCUUAAUGACUGUAUAGGGUGGGUGUAGGCGGAGGGGGGAACUGGGAGGACUGUAUGGGUGGAUAUGAGGUGGGGAUCUGGUAUCUAGGAGGACUGUACACGUGGGCACAGGGCAGGGAGUAGUUGCUGGUCACACCGGAUAACCUCGCGACCCCGUGACCCCACAAGCUGCCCCCACCUGCGCCACGUUGGGGAUGUCCUCAUUCAUGUGGAUGAAGAGUGGCAGCAGACUCCUCUCCGCCUUGCAGCAGCAGCCGCUUCCUGCCUGGUGCCUCCAGCAGCAGCGCAAAGAGCUCCAUGGAGCGCCAGCGCACCUCUGCGUUGUCCUGGGAGGAAACACACACGGGGUAAUGCUGAGCUCUGCACGGUGCGGGGGCUGCUUGAAUGCUCCCCGCUGCCCCGCGUCCCUCACCUCAUUGAAGCAGGACAGCAGCUGUAUGGCCAGCUGGCUGAGCACACCUCGGAUGCUGGCGGGGUGCUGUGCCGCAAUGUCCUGCAGCAGAUGUAUGGCCUGCAGUUUGAUGUCAGCCCGCAUGUCCUGCAGCCACAGCAGCGCGUCGGGUAGCAGCAGCUGCAUCCUCCC
ensembl:lncRNA